AGGAAGCAGCUAGCAAUGAUG
rnacentral:misc_RNA from 1 species